AUGGAGUGUUUAUUUUUUAAUUGAUGUGCUGUUUCAUUUAGCGCUUGUAUGGAACUCAUGCUGGGGCUGUAAUUACUGUAAUCUCGGGAACAAGCAUUUCGGUUAGCCAGGAGGGUGGCAAAACGCGUUCCCUCUCUCCCUCUCUCCCCCUCCCUCUCUUCCCUCUCUUCCCUCUCUCUCUGUUGCGAGAUUUUUGCUGAUUGUCAGAUUUCAUAGCAAGACCGAGUAGGACUAGGGAGCCGAAGUUGUGGAGGGUGUGGGCACAGAGAAGCAGAAUUACAGGUACAGUUGAGGCCAGCUCCACUUUCUGGGGGUGGGGGUGAUGGUAGUUGGUGGUUAUCUGUUUAAGACCAAUUCUCGUCACGAAACAAACAUAACUAGCAGCAUUUGUAUAUUGCUUGAGCUAAUGGAAUCUGUCUUCCUCCUUCUGUUUUCUCUAGCUUAGUUAGCAACCUCUUUAGGCGCCACACUCUAAACAGACAGGCGGAACCCCCCACCCCACCCCCGGCCCCCGGUUUUUGGCAAGUUCUGUAUUUUGGCCAAGUAUUCUAGGCAUAUCCACCAGGCUGUAGUUAUACCCCUAUCUUCCACCGUCUUUUUCUUCUUCUUCUUCUUUUGUUUUUUUUUUUUUUUUAAACUGAAGUCUAGUUAGAACCUCAGCAUACUGAAAAAUAACACUUCCUUCUCUCUUUUGUUUUGGAAAAACUAAACUCCAUAGGAAUCAAAAAUUCGAAGGCUUCAGAAAUAUCAGCUGAUUCAGCAGAAAAUGAUCCCUUCGAAAAUGCAAAGGCUCACCCUUUACUUGGUCUUUUUUUUUUUUUUUUAAUCAAUUCCUGUCUCCCCUCCUCCUAAUCGGAACCCCCUUUUAUGGCUGGUUGAAUGUAGAGGGUCACCUGUCUCUUUUGGUGGUACCUUGUUCAUAGAGGGUCAUUGUCUAGAAAGUUCGACUUCGCAGCAACAACAGGUAAUUUCUGGAACACCAGUUCUGAGGGCAGUUGAGAGGCAGGUCCCCCUUGUAAGGACCAGCCUGGGGCUGCGUUGCCCGGACCACAGAUGGGAGGGGCUGGUUUCCAAAAGCAACACAGGCGGGGAAAAGUUCCUACUGCUUUUCUUCAACAGGGAAAUGUCAAAUGGUGAAGUUUAGAAUUACACUAUAUAAAUUUACUAGAAUUAGGUAAAAACAAACUGACAUUUGAAAAUUGAGGCUGAAAAUAGUUGAUUUUGGCUUUUAAUUGGCUUUUAAAUUUUCUUUUUUAUUUUGAGACAAGAUGAAAGCUUUGAUGAUGUGGAAUGUGGAAUUUUUCGGAAAACGAUCCUGUCAGAAGGAGCUACUCACUGCUGUGUCUGCUGUAACAAGGCUAAGUGGGAUGGAAGGAGAUAACCGAGGCAAAUGUGUGCCACUGGCCAGGAAUCAGGUUCUCACUUGACAUGUGGCUGCCAUUUUGGAAAAUGGCAACUGCACUGUCAUUGUUUAAUUUUAUCAUUAUUCUAUAAUGUGUCUUAAAAAUUGAUAAUUGUUUCCCUCAUUCACACUGGAAUAUUGCCCAGAUGCGGAAACUCUUGUGAUAUAGGAUGCAUUGUGCAUGAGUUUGAGAACUUUUAGGUGCAAUAAAGACCUCCUAAGUGUAACUGGUUUAGCCAAGAAGGACACUUAAUUCAUCUCAUAUGUCAAUGAAUUUGGAAACAGGAAGUUCCACCAUUGGUUCAUUCUGUGACUCAACCGUGUGAGGCCUGCAGCUCGCCUUCUAGGCUCUCAGCUUCCCGUUUGGUUGCAGGGGGCCUGCCUCUGCGGAGUCGGCAUGCUUCCUGGGACAGCUGCCAAGGCAGGAAGAAUGGCAGGACUCCCCCUGUGCACCUCUGCCCUUGGAAAAGAAAGUCUGCCCCAAAGGCCUUUGACCACCUUCCUCUUAGGUCGCACUGGUCUGAACCAGCUGUAGGCUGUGGUGGGCGGCUGGUGACAGGUGGGCUCUUGUUGCAAGGAAGCCAAGGAGGGGAAAGUGACUAUUGAGCAGACGACAGUCAGCCACACGUUACUCUUUGAAACGAACUUUCAAGCAAUAUCAUUGAGCCAACAUGCCUAGUCUUCCAAAGUGUUUUGUUCAGGGCUGUGAGUUAAGUAUGAUCUAGAUCCAAGAAAACCUUGAUAUCUACAUUUUUUUCCUUUUGAAGAUCACACAAUACAGUUCUCUGACAGUUGGUGUGAAAUAAAUGUCGAAUGGUUUA